rnacentral:rRNA from 1 species
AUUGGACGCCGGCGGCAUGCCUUACACAUGCAAGUCGAACGGUAACGCGGGGCAACCUGGCGACGAGUGGCGAACGGGUGAGUAACGCAUCGGAACGUGCCCAAUAGUGGGGGAUAGCCCGGCGAAAGCCGGAUUAAUACCGCAUACGACCUACGGGUGAAAGCAGGGGAUCGCAAGACCUUGCGCUAAUGGAGCGGCCGAUGUCAGAUUAGGUUGUUGGUGGGGUAAAAGCCCACCAAGCCGACGAUCUGUAGCUGGUCUGAGAGGACGACCAGCCACACUGGGACUGAGACACGGCCCAGACUCCUACGGGAGGCAGCAGUGGGGAAUUUUGGACAAUGGGCGCAAGCCUGAUCCAGCCAUGCCGCGUGCGGGAUGAAGGCCUUCGGGUUGUAAACCGCUUUUGUUAGGGAAGAAAUCUUUUGAGCUAAUACCUCGGAAGGAUGACGGUACCUAAAGAAUAAGCACCGGCUAACUACGUGCCAGCAGCCGCAGUAA